CUGGGUUCUAUGAUGAGUUUAUUUAUGUUACACAAAUAAUGUUUCUCAAUCAAUUUAAUUACGUAAAAAUUCGGUCAUAACUAUCUUUCGCAGAUGAUCAAACGAUUCACAUAGUAGUCAAGAUUACGGUUACAGCAAUGAAACCUUUCAGUUGCCAUAAUCAUGCUUGACUGCAAAACAGUUUCUAUUCAGACGUGUCUGUAUCUUCUGGUGUAUGUUGUUUUUUACGUAGCCGAUAGUAAAGUAACAGACAUGACGGUUGAACAAUGAACCCCAAAAUGACAACUGCGAAUACACCCACUAAGGCACACCCCAUUUAUGAUUUGAACACGCGCCCCCAAUUUUUAUCGGAAGUAAAGCCGAAUCAUCACUGUACCAAAGAUACAGCAUGCACGCAUUUUCAAAAUAAAAUAAAAUAUAGUAAAAUGGGAAGAAUAUUCCCCCGCAGUGUUCUUUCUUGUGGCACCGAUAAAUGCGGGAAACGGAAAAACAAAAUAUGUUGCCAAAUAUUCCCAACAAUAUGUCCAGAACAUUGUUUCCUUUACUGCAGAUGUACAUGAGUCCAUGGAGAAGACGAUAAGCUAUAAAGAAUAACACAAAAUAGCUAUAUUCAGCCAUAACGAGCGCAAUUAAGAUGAUACGUGGCACAAUUUCAG
rnacentral:lncRNA from 1 species